GGUGCGAGCGCAACAUAUUUUAGAAUUAAUUACGGAUGUAUUAAUAUUUAUCUACAUAUGACUUGUUAUGAUUUUUUUUAUUAUAUAUGAAUAUCCUGAGAAUGGUGGGAUUUUGAAAGGUGUAUGUAAGUUUCUUGACUGCAAAAGCAAACUUAACAACCUAGGAUAUCAGAGACGACAACAAAUAUGUCCCACUUGUAGCAACUGCGUCCCCUUUUUGUGGUGUAUAUGUACUGAGUAACACGGCAGAUGAAACUACUGGAAUAGGAACUGUUUACCCUUCCGGGAUAUUUAAGAUUAUCCCAAUUUUUUGUGGUUCGUGUUACUCUAUACCAUGUAUUCUGUGGAGAGUUUUAUGGGCUGUUGUUUGCAUUUUCGUCGUUUCUGAUUGAUCAUGGUGUUUUAUUUCUUUAUUGAACUUCUGGCUUUCGAUUUUUCAUUUGGUGUCUGCUCCAUCUUUUUUUAACAAAAAAUAUGUAAAAUCAAAGAAAGACCUUUGCCUCUUUGAGGUUAAUUUCCUCCAACGACUAUCAAAAUUGAUCGAAAUAAUCAUUUACUUGGAGUUUGAAUUGUAUUGUAGUUUUUCUCUCUUUCGUUUUGUUUUAAAUUAACAUCCUGCUUCAACCAUUGCAUCCUUUUUUACUUAAUUUAAAUAGAUAAAAAAUAUUAAAUUUAUUAAUAUCACCAAUAUAGCAUUAAUUUAACAUGUUAAAGACGAUAAAAUUGGUAUAGUAUAGUAACUUCUUAAGAU
rnacentral:lncRNA from 1 species